AUGGGCUGUGCAGUGGCAGCACAGGGAGAAGUGCUGGGGCUGUGUGAUGGCACGGAGAUGGCACUGCAAGGAGGGAGGAAGACCCAGUGCACAACACUAUCUGUUACACACGGAUACCGGCAAUAUUACAAGGUGGACUCCAGGGAUAAGAGACAGCCAACCCCGCACACCUCCCACGCCUGAGUCAUACCCGGGGUAACGCCAGGUCCUGCUCAUACCUGCUGUCGGCAGAAAUGAAACCGUACGAGCCGUUGUGUUUCAGAGCCUUUUUUAAUUGAUUCUCCAGAAUGCUUGAUCUUACCUGCUGAUAUCCCUGUGUUAUUAUUCAGAGGCACAGUCUAUCUGCAUAGCAAUGGACAAAAUGCCUGUGAAAAUAUUGCUAUUCAUUCAGUCGAUGUCGGAACUGGAGUAGGCACUAGCUACACUCUGCAAUGCUUGUCCUGGAAUAUCAAUAAAUAAAUCAUAAAAGCCA
rnacentral:lncRNA from 1 species